rnacentral:lncRNA from 1 species
GCUCCCGCGCGGCGUUCGCGGCGGCUGGACGGCCACCCCCGGAGCGCGCCGCGACCCCGCUGAGGCCUGUUGGCCCGGUCCCGGUCGGUCCUGGGCUCCAGUCGCGGGCGGCGGCGGGCGGCGCGGCGGACUCCGCGCUGCGUGGGCUGCUAGCGGGACGGCCGCGCUCCAUGGCGACUCCGGCUCCGAUUUCCCCGGCGUGCACUGCAAAGGAGCGGGCGGCCGUGAGCCCCGGCCUCGCGGCCUCGCCCUCGCCCUCGAGUCCCCAGGUGCUGAGCUGCUCCUGAAGGCGCCCAGGGCUCAGGCUCCGGUCCCCGCUGACACACCCCGCCCGCCCGCCCGCCCGCCCGCCCGCCCGGGGAAACGGGGCUGCAGGACUCGGCCUCACCUCGGACUUGGCGUCACCUCACCUUUCCUCCCCCCACCGCAGCGGCCGUGCGGGGUUCGGCUGAGCAGGGCUAGGCGGCCAAGGGCGUCGAGCGGGUGGGUCACUCCAUCCUUGUCCAGGCUCUGCGCCGCCUUUUAUGUGGGCGUCCGAAGCCAGCAAAGCCACGUCGGGCCGAGAGGGUCUCCCACCCGAGCCCUUGGGUUAGGGGCAGCGGCGUCCCGGAGCCGCCCCCUCGGCGGAUAGACUCAGUGUGCGUCCCCGUCCGCCUUUAAUUCUACAAGGUGAAGAUUCUUGCAGUAGAAGCCUUUCCUCAGUACACCGUGACCUAGAGACCCGCCACCGCCACGGCCGCCUUCCGGCCUCGGCACCCGCUCGCCCACAGGCUCAGGCUGACCCCGGCGCCGGCGGGACUCAGUGCUGCAGCCCGUGGCGGACGCGGUUCUCGCCGCAGCCCAGCCAGAUUCUCUGAACCGGGAUAGGAAUCAGCGCGGUUUCCUCUUUGCAGGUUCUGAGUAUCAGAUAUGAAAUGUCACUGAGGGCAAGGCUAGUUUAUAGAUUCGCGAACAUUUCGCUGCAGAUUUCUAACUUUCCACGUCGGGAAUACCAAACAGUAAGAUAGCAACGCAGGACUUUUUAUACCACGAUGGACCGAAACGUGGACUUGUCAGUGAAUCACGGUGAUUCUAAGACUGUAAUGGGCUUUAGGCUUUAGAACGCACACUCAGAUUUCCUUGAUUCAAAAGGACUUGUGUUGAAUAAGAAACCACAUAAUACGAAACCACAUUUUAUUUCCUGGCAAAUUUUAUUUAAUAGCUAAUAAAGUAAAUAGAUCCCAGAAUUCACGCAC